rnacentral:ncRNA from 1 species
AAAUUAAGUUAGAUAUUUUAUUAUAGUAUGAAAUAAUGGCUUAAAAUUGAUCCUUACAUACAGUUUUUUGAGGUUUUAGUUGAAAUCUUAAUGAUUCCAAAAUCUUAUAUUGUAGUAUUUCAUAUUUUUAAUUUCUGUUUUCAGAGAUAAAGUCUUUUUGUCAUGUUUGACUAGCGAAAAUUGUGCCAGCAGCUGCGGUUAUACAAUUAGUCAAGGGUCAUUAUUAUGGGGAUUUAUUUAUUUGUUAAAAUUUGUUGGUUAAAUUUCAUAUAGUUUUGGAGUGAAAUCUAAAUUUGUGAUUGGUAACUUGGUUUUAUUAAAUGAUUAUAUAAGAAAUUUAUUUGUAAAGACUAGGAUUAGAUACCCUAUUAUUAUAAGUUUAAAUUAAAAAUUCUCUAGUAUUAAUAGUUAAGAUCUUUAAAUUAAAAUAAUUUGACGGUAACUUAAUCUGUUCAGAGGAACCUGUUCUGUAAUUGAUAAUCCACGAUAAAUUUUACUUUAAUUAUAUUAUUUGUAUAUCUCUGUUUAUUGAGUGUUUUAUUAGAAAUAUUCUCUUGAAUUUUAUUUAAAACAUAUAUCAGGUCAAGGUGCAGUUAUAUUAAAGUUUGAAAUGGGUUACAUUUAAUUUUAAUAUUGGAUUAAUUAUUUGUUGUAUAAACUUUUAUGAAAUUGGAUUUGAUUGUAAUAAUUAUUAUAUUUUAAUUAUGAUAUUUGUUCUAAGUUGAGUACAUAUCGCCCGUCACUCUCAUUAUUAAGAUGAGAUAAGUCGUAACAAAGUAGGCCUAUCGGAAGGUGGGCCUGGAUUUAUA